CCUUUUUCUCUGUACCAAUUCUCCCUAUUUCUGUCUCCCCUUUUCCUUGACUUGUUCUUUUCAAUCUUUUGUCUUUCCCUCAGUGUAAAAUAAUUGAAAAAACAAGAAGAUAAAAUUCAUAGAUUCACUUUCUUCUGCACUUCUCCUCUCUUUUGUUUUCAUUUCUCCUCUCUCAAACCUAAAGUAUUAUACUCCUUAUAACCUAAUUCUUCCAUUUCUCUCUUCCUACUCAUUCUUUUACUUCUAAAUAUAACUGAGAUUUUCCUUCUUUAUUCUUUUCCUAACUUAAACUUUAUAGUUCAUUUGAUUAUCUGAAGUUAUAUAUUAAUUAAGUGGAAAAAAAAUGCUACCAUGGUUACUAACACUUCAGUUAAUUUCUCAUUAAUUUUUUCUAUCAAAGCCAUAAUUAUUGCCCUUUUCUUCUUUCUUGUUUUCUCUCCUUCCUUUUGUUUAUGUCAUAAAAACAAACCCCAAGACUUUACUCAGGAUUUGUUAGUGGAAGAGAAAACAAGAUUGGGUUCAACACCACCAAGUUGUUACAACAAGUGUAACCAAUGCCACCCAUGCAUGGCAGUUCAAGUGCCAACGAUACCGAGUCACCACCGAGUUGAACCGAGUCGAAUCCAAGGUAUGCCCAUGGACUAUUUUCAGUCACCUGGGGCUAAUAGGUACUCCAAUUACAAACCACUUGGCUGGAAAUGUAGAUGUGGUGACCACUUUUACAACCCUUAGCUUGGGACGUGAUUAGGUUAACUUGAGCGCACCUAAACUAAUUUAGGCUCGCGAAUUUUAAAAUUUUUGUGAGUUGUGUGAUUUAUAAUUAACACGUGGAAUAUGUAAUUUUUGGAUUUUAUAUUUUAGGAAUUUUGGUCAAUAAAUUUGGUCCCUAGUUGGGAUUCUUGUAGAGGCAAGACAUAUUAAAUGAGGCUGUUAUAAGCAUUUAGUAUGGUGUACACAUUGAUAUUCAAUACACUGAUGUUGUGCAGAACCUUUUUAUCA